AAUAUCAAAGGUGAGCCAGUACAGGAUGGACCCGCGUCUGAUUAGCUAGUUGGUAAGGUAACGGCUUACCAAGGCGACGAUCAGUAGCCGACCUGCGAGGGUGAUCGGCCACAUUGGCACUGACACACGGUCCAAACUCCUACGGGAGGCAGCAGUGGGGAAUAUUGCACAAUGGGCGAAAGCCUGAUGCAGCAACGCAGCGUGAGCGAUGACGGCCUUCGGG
rnacentral:rRNA from 1 species